UGUUGCCAGGGGCUACGUGACCAAUGUUGGACUUCCUAGUCCUUUUAAUUGGUGGUCAUUGUUUCUAUACUGGUUAGUGUAAAAAAUAAGACGGGCAAAGUGAAAAGAAUAUUACUAAAAUUAUACAAAUAAAUCAGGAGGAAACAAAGGUGGACGAAUAAUUUACUCUGAUAGUGAGGGGCCAUUCAGGUGGACCGUGUUCCAAGGAUCAAAAUUUAAAAACCAGCUUGAUCCACAUGAGCUCCAAUAUCAUGUGAAAUUUGGUGUGUGUACGAUUUCCUUCCUUCUGCUAGAGAGCAUUUUCAUGGCGACCUCUGUCCUGAUACUGGUUGCCAUGGCAACCCAGGCGUGUGGAAACGUGGACUACAGCAAGAUUAGGCUGAAACUCCUUCCUCAGAAAUAUCUCGACCCUUAUUCAAAAUUGCGUCCUGGGAAGCCGGACAGUUACACGAGUUGUAUGUGUCCUUCCAGUCUCAACACGACAGGCUCCUUUUACAUGUUCUGCGGACCUGAACUGAACCCGAAAGAAGGCGGGUUUUGUCGCAAGGAAGGGGCAUACAGAUGCAUUAAUGGACAGAAAGAAGCAAUCUUGACAGCCGAUUGUGAAACUUAACCUGGAGAGGGAAAUUACUGCAGGACCUUCACUAUUUGCCCCCCCACCAGUGAAUUUGGACAGUUGUGCGGAGAACAACGUAAAAGGAUGCGCUCAGAAAUCUGUGCAAAACUCAAACCCUUGAUCUAUCGGCCACAGGAAUAUGCAUAUCUACCUACAAAUAUUUAUGUAUUUUACGUCUAAAAUUGAAACCCUGAAGAAGCGAUGACGCA